rnacentral:tRNA from 1 species
UAAAGUGUAAUUUUGCACGUAGGAAUUUGAAUCCUAAAGUAGGCCCUCCUUAUUAUAG